rnacentral:miRNA from 1 species
AACAUCCUCAUUGGCCGGAAGGGAUUCCUUCCGGUUGAUGAGGUAUAACAUCCUCAUUGACCAGAAGGAAUCCCUUCCGGUCGAUGAGAUUGUCAUACCUCGUCAAUUGGAAGGGAUUCCUUCCGUCGAUGAGGAUGUU